rnacentral:lncRNA from 1 species
UUUUGUCCUUGUCCUCACAUCUUAUUCAUCACAAAUCCCCGAAAACAAGCUUUGCAUUUUUUACUGUUGAUAAUGGUAACUACAUGUAUAAAUGUAUGGUUUUUUUUCAUUUAAAACGUGUAUAAAAGUUUAUUGAUGGUAUAUAUAUAUAUAUAUAUAUAUAUAUAUAUUGAAGGACUCAUAUAUCCUUGGACGCAAUCCAAACCCAGCUUUGCAUAUGUACCACUUAUCUACUUGAUUUUUUCUAUUUCCUCUUUUGAGAACUAUUCUAGGUAACAUAUACCACUUUAGUGGAUUUGAACUCAAAGGCUACAACCCCUGUAAUUCAAUGUGCAGCCACUCAUGCUGGUAAAGUAAUAUAAGUGACAAGUGAAAAUAUUCCAGUGAGAGGAAGUGCAUCCAUCGCCCAUGCGCUCUGACAGUCUGCACCACCAUUAUUCUUUAGGAUUUGUUACAAAGUGGGGAAAAACCAAAUUGUGGGGCACAAGCAAUCAUGUACAAAAGAAAAAAAACUACACUCUAAUUGGAAGAUGCUUGUGUGCUGAGAGAGAUUGGCACCACAGGCUUUAGGGCCACAUGAAUCAUAUUCUGUAGAAAAGAGAAUACCC